rnacentral:rRNA from 1 species
UACGGAGGAUGCGAGCGUUAUCCGGAUUUAUUGGGUUUAAAGGGAGCGCAGACGGGAGAUUAAGUCAGUUGUGAAAGUUUGCGGCUCAACCGUAAAAUUGCAGUUGAUACUGGUUUCCUUGAGUGCAGUUGAGGCAGGCGGAAUUCGUGGUGUAGCGGUGAAAUGCUUAGAUAUCACGAAGAACCCCGAUUGCGAAGGCAGCUUGCUAAACUGUAACUGACGUUGAUGCUCGAAAGUGUGGGUAUCAAACAGG